AAACCAUUUUCACCAGACAGUAGUAAGACGAAGGCCAACUCACACCCAUUUCCCUACUGAAUCCUCAACAUUAGAAACAAACCAUUUAAUGAAUCAUCAAGAGUACCUAACAAGUAACAAUAUCAAAAAUCCAAAAGAAAGGAUACCAAUGUAAUCUGCCCAUUGUCAAAACUCAUCUUCUUCUCCAUGUUUGUUUUGUAG
rnacentral:misc_RNA from 1 species